rnacentral:rRNA from 1 species
GUGUCAGCCGCCGCGGUAAUACGGAGGGUGCAAGCGUUGUUCGGAAUUAUUGGGCGUAAAGCGCGCGCAGGCGGUCUGGAAAGUCUAUGGGUGAAAUGCCGGGGCUCAACCCCGCGCAUGCCCAGGAUACUGUCAGACUGGAGACACGUAGAGGCAAGCGGAAUUUCGGGUGUAGCGGUGGAAUGCGUAGAUAUCCGAAAGAACACCGGAGGCGAAGGCGGCUUGCUGGGCGUGAUCUGACGCUGAGGCGCGAAAGCGUGGGGAGCGAACAGGAUUAGAAACCCUCGUAGUCC